rnacentral:rRNA from 1 species
GACGAACGCUGGCGGCGUGCCUAAUACAUGCAAGUCGAACGAGAGCGACCGGUGCUUGCACUGGUCAAUCUAGUGGCGAACGGGUGAGUAACACGUGGGUAACCUGCCCAUCAGAGGGGGAUAACAUUCGGAAACGGAUGCUAAAACCGCAUAGGUCUUCGAACCGCAUGGUUUGAAGAGGAAAAGAGGCGCAAGCUUCUGCUGAUGGAUGGACCCGCGGUGCAUUAGCUAGUUGGUGAGGUAACGGCUCACCAAGGCCGUGAUGCAUAGCCGACCUGAGAGGGUGAUCGGCCACAUUAGGACUGGGACACGGCCCAAACUCCUACGGGAGGCAGCAGUAGGGAAUCUUCCGCAAUGGACGCAAGUCUGACGGAGCAACGCCGCGUGAGUGAAGAAGGUUUUCGGAUCGUAAAACUCUGUUGUUAGAGAAGAAUAAGUGCUAGAGUAACUGUUAGCGCCUUGACGGUAUCUAGCCAGAAAGCCACGGCUAACUACGUG